rnacentral:rRNA from 1 species
AGAGUUUGAUCAUGGCUCAGGACGAACGCUGGCGGCGCGCCUCAUGCAUGCAAGUCGAACGAGAACUAGUUCAUUCGUAAGAUUGAGUUAGGGACAGUGGCGAACGGGUGCGUAACACGUGAGAAACCUGCCCUGGAGACCGGGAUAGCCCGAGGAAACUCGGAUUAAUACCGGAUACCCUCUUUGGACCGCAUGGUCCGUUGAGGAAAUGAUCCGUUGCUCCAGGAUGGUCUCGCGGCCUAUCAGCUAGUUGGUGAGGUAAUGGCUCACCAAGGCUCCGACGGGUAGCUGGUCUGAGAGGACGAUCAGCCACACUGGGACUGAGACACGGCCCAGACUCCUACGGGGGGCAGCAGCAGGGAAUAUUGCACAAUGGGCGAAAGCCUGAUGCAGCGACGCCGCGUGCGGGAUGAAGGCCUUCGGGUUGUAAACCGCUUUCAGGAGGGACGAAAAUGACGGUACCUCCAGAAGAAGGCCCGGCCAACUACGUGCCAGCAGCCGCGGUAAUACGUAGGGGCCAAGCGUUGUCCGGAUUUAUUGGGCGUAAAGGGCUCGUAGGCGGUUUGACAAGUCGGACGUGAAAACCCGGGGCUCAACCCCGGGACGCCGUUCGAAACUGUCAUGACUAGGGUCCGGUAGAGGUGAGUGGAAUUCUCGGUGUAGCGGUGGAAUGCGCAGAUAUCGAGAGGAACACCAGUAGCGAAGGCGGCUCACUGGGCCGGUACCGACGCUGAGGAGCGAAAGCGUGGGGAGCAAACAGGAUUAGAUACCCUGGUAGUCCACGCCGUAAACGUUGAACACUAGGUGUGGCGAGUUAAUCCAUACUUGCCGUGCCGCAGCUAACGCAUUAAGUGUUCCGCUUGGGGAGUACGGCCGCAAGGCUAAAACUCAAAGGAAUUGACGGGGCCCCGCACAAGCGGCGGAGCAUGCGGCUUAAUUCGAUGCAACCCGAAGAACCUUACCUGGGCUUGACAUCAUGGGUCUACCUGUAGAGAUACAGGGUGCUUAUGCGCCCAUGACAGGUGGUGCAUGGCUGUCGUC